rnacentral:lncRNA from 10 species
UUUUCACUCUUGUGGCUCUCCUAUCACCAUGUCAAGAACAUGCUCUGUCUAUCCCACUAGGUUAAGAGAAGAGGACAAUCGAUGUGGAGCAGUGAGAAGCAAAGCUGCCCAGCCAAGUCCAGCAUACAUGCACCUGUGUGAGCGAUGACAAUGAACGAUUGUUGUUUAAGGCCUCCGAGUUGUGGGGUAGUAUUUUAUUUCGCAAUAGGGAGAAGAAUUGGAGAGGCCACUGUCUUCUUGGACUCCCCUCAUUUUCACCAUGAGGCUCACUGCAGAUGAAUCAGCUCCACCAGGCAGAGAGGAAAGUACAGAAGUGCUCAGUGAAGAGGAAGAAGAAGAUGGAUUUGGCCCUGACACCCUAAUUCAUUUCUACCUGGAAGACAUUUUUAUUUUGCCUGCAGCAAGGAGAAAGUGAUCCAUUGCAACUGUGAUUCAAGGGUACUGCCUUCCUGCCUUCCUCCUUUCUCUUCUGCUUUAGAAGAGAGAAAGGUUUGAAGAGACAAACUCAUUCUCUAGAAUGUAAAACCAGAGCUCAACAAGAGAAAAAAAAAUCAUUACAAAUGUCAGAUCAAGGUAGAAUUAAUUUGAAUAUCUGGGUUACCAUAGAGACCAGGGCAUGAAUUGACCCCACUGACCCCUCAAGUUUUCCCGAAGAUGAUUUCUGGUUCAGAAGGUGGCACCAAAAUCCCUGGAAAUGAUUGCUGGUUUAGGGGGGUAUGAAGGAGCCAGAGUGGGAAGGCAGCUCAGGAAAGCUGUGAGAUGUUCACUGGGUCAAACUGUGUAACUAACUGGUCUUACUGAUUUUGAGAACAGGGCUCUAUUCAAUUCCGAUUACAUUUUAUUCUUUAUGAUAUGUUUGCGCAUCUAUUGUUUUACUUGAACUCUCAACAACUCUGCAAGAUAGGUGAUGUGGCUAUUAAUAUUUCAAUUUUAUGAAUAAAUAAGUAGAGUUAUAGGAAGUUUAAGAGCCUUAUCAAAGGUAUGAAAUGAUUAUUCAAGAGACAGGACUAGACC